ensembl:lncRNA STAG3L4 STAG3 cohesin complex component like 4 (pseudogene)
ACAAGGGAGAUGUCCGCCCCCAGUCGUAGCCUCGGACGGUUUCUGAGCGUUGGUGUUUGGCACGCGCCACCCUCUCUUGCUUUGGUUCCGCCAUGCCGAUGUACCAGGUAAAACCUUAUCACGGGCGCGGCGCGCCUCUCCGUGUGGAGCUUCCCACCUGCAUGUACCGGCUCUCUAACGUGCAAGGCAGGAGCGGCGGCCCAGCGCCCGGCGUUGGCCACCUACAGUCUUUGGUAGAUGAGUGGCUGGAUAGCUACAAGCAAGACCAGGAUGCAGGAUUUCUGGAGCUUGUUAACUUUUUCAUCUGAUCUUGUGGAUGUAAAGGCACUGUGAGCCCUGAGAUGUUCAAGAAGAUGUCCAACUCAGAGAUCAUCCAGCACCUAACAGAGCGUUUAAUGAGGACUCGGGGGACUAUCCUCUGACAGCUCCAGGUCUAUCCUGGAAGAAGUUCCAGGGCAGCUUCUGUGAGUUUGUGGGGACAUUGGUCUGUCGGUGCCAGUACAUCCUCCUCCAUGAUGACUUCCCUAUGGACAACCUCAUCUCCCUGCUCACUGGCUUCUCAGACUCACAAGUCUGCGCCUUCUGUCACACUAGCACCCUGGCUGCUAUGAAACUGAUGACCUCCCUGGUAAGAGUUGCCCUCCAACUGAGUCUGCACGAAGAUAUCAAUCAGCGUCAGUAUGAGGCUGAAAGAAACAAGGGGCCAGGGCAGAGGGCACCUGAGCGGCUGGAGAGCCUGUUGGAGAAACACAAAGAGCUGCAUUAAUACUACAUUGUCAAAGACAAAGACGAACAUGAGACAUGCGAUAUGAGUUUUAAAAGGAGAGAAGAGCAAAAAAACAAUACAGCUAUCCAAGGAGCAAGUGCUGAGCUUGUGAAAAAACAGCUUCUAUUUUAUUAAAUAAUAGUGUUCCUGCAGGGAUGUCUGAAGUACUCUGCAAGGCUAAUUAGGACAGAUCAAUGUACACUUACCUCUCCAGAAGGCUGAAAGAUACAGACUGAAAUGUUACCAGAUAAAAUGAUGUCAUGUCUGGGAUUCGCUUCAAAAUAAUUUGAGGUGGAAGUGGAAAGUGGAAACAACAAUUAUGAAACAACCUGGCCCAUGAGAUGAUAGCUGUGGAAGAGAAAACAUCUUGCUCUGUUGCUCAGGCUGGAGCGCAAUGGUGCCAUCGUAGCUUACUGUAACCUUGAACGUCUGUGCUCAAGCAAUCUUCCUGCCUCAGCCUCCUGAGUAGCUGGGACUACAGAGACAGGGUCUUGUUCUAUUGUCCAAGCUGGUCUUGAAUUCCUGACCUCAAGCAAUCCUCCUGCCUCUGCCUCCCAAAGCACUGGGAUUAUUACAGUAGAGACGAGGUUUCACUGUGUUAGCCAGGAUGGUCUUGAUCUCCUGACCUUGUGAUCCACCCGCCUCGG